UUCUAAUUAUAAAAAUUAAAUUAGAUUUAUAUAUAUGCGUUUAUAAAAUUCAAUAAUUUCCUGUUUACAUCAAUUAAAUGAGUUAAUUUUUAAAAAAAAAGAUUUCUCUAGGAUUAAAUCUAAUGCGAUUUUUAAUCCGGAUCUAAAAGAAUCUAAUUAUAAUUAAUUUUUAUGAAAUUAAGAAGUCAACGCUUCUAAAAGUGGGCUUUUUCUGUUAUUUUAUCGUAAUAGUGUCAAUGGUUUUAUAUACAGUUGGUUAGAAUAUUUAUCAAUUAAACGGUAGCAUCAAUAAUAUAAAAAGCUAAUGCAUCAUGGCGAUUGAUUGAUGGACCUGGCUGGCUAUCAAUGUGCAUCGCCAGUUAUAACAGUAAGUCUAAUAAACGAGCUUUCAUCCAAUUAAGUAAAUUUUCCUGAAUGUUAGUAAAGAAUUUGGUAAUAGUCUGAAAGAUUGGAUGGCAAUAGCCUACUUUCGAUUUAAUUAAAAUAACGAAUUUUUACCGAACUCUAAAUUAUAACCAUUAAAUUUUUUAACGCAUUGAAUUAAUUUAUUUUAUCGAAUCUAGAUCGAAAUUGGUUUACAAUCCACUUUACCUUAAUCACGGAAUUUUAUUGCAUUUAAGCAGUAGCCUUUAUAAAAGUUUUAUAAUUUAUUCCUUUCUUAUGGGGAUAAGUAUUGUUAUUUUACAUGUAACAAUACUUUAAGCCCACUUAAAAUUAAUUGUGAGGAGCUAACUGCUGCAUGAAUAAUGAAAGAGAACGAGGAUUUUAGCAUAUUCAUCUAGGGAGACUAUAACCAUCAAAAUUUCUACUGCAGAAUAGUCUAAGAUUGAAGAUGGUUAUCGAUACAGAAUAAGUUUCAAGUUUAUAUUUAAAAGUGGAUCAACCUGCAAGAUCUAAUGAAUUUAUCACAAACCAUUCAAAAUAAAUACUUUGUUCGAAAUUUUUCACUUUAUUUAUUUAAAUAUGAUCAAUAACUAAUUUAUCUUCUAGCAUCACGAUAUAGUUUACUAUAUUGAUGAUCAGAACAACGAGGAAAGUUUAUAAUUAAUUCAUAAAUUUAAACAUUUAUAAAUUUAUUUCAAAUUAUAAAAACGCUGAUUUACUAUUGUAAAAAAAAAGAACAAAAGGAGCCAGAGAAACAAGAGAAAAAAAGAAGAGAGAGAGAGAAAAGAGUUAGCGUAAGGAAUAAAAGGACAGUUUGGGGAACAGAAAACCAUUUGCCUAGAAUAGCGUAUAAAUCUCGUUAGAUGGACCCGGAAGUCUGCGGACUAAAUCGAGUUUGGGAGAAGCGAGGGGAUGAUUGUUGCGAUUAGGGUCCAAGUUGUGGCUCAACACGUCAGCAGUAAUUAACGGUAAUUUGAACAUCCAGUGUCAGUGCCAAUCGGGACUUUAAUCUUUCUCCCAGUCACGGCUUCGAGCACAGAUUGGACGACGAAGAUUCUCCUUCCAAGUCGUUUCGAGAUCAAUAUAAAGCUUUUCCUUUUAUCUACUCUCAAUUCUGUGAUUCUGUUCAACGAAUUCCCGAUUGGUCCGACGGUUAAUUACAGAAUUGUCUGUUUGAUUAACGUUUAUGAAGUGGCUGAAGAAUUUUGGCUCUUGUUUACUCAUUUUUCUAUCAACUGUUUCGUUUUAAUAAGAGAAAAUUGUUUCCAGCAAUAAAAAUAUGCGUUUUCAAAUAAUUACGAACAAAAAAGAAACGUCAGUCAGUCGAGUUAUUAGAUCCAAGUUGGAAGAAACAGAAGUAAACCUUAUAAAGUUUAAUGGAAUUUCUUUUAAUCUUCAUUAUCAUUUAAUAGACGGAAGAAAAGAGGUAUUCGGAGUUCGUUAGAUAGAAAUUAGAUCCUGUGGAGGAGAAUCUUGUUUGUUAAAAGCUUUGAUGAUUUGAAACAAAAUGAUUUUCCUCAUGUUUAACAAUUUAUUUUGCCUAAAUUGCAAUACUUGAUCACCUCAUUAUAUCCGAGAUUUUUCAAAUUUUUUAAUUGAGUCGAAUUGCGAGCGAACUUAAAUAAUUUUUUUUAUCUAAACGAUCUCGACAAAUUAAUAAUCUUUCGACAGGACAACGGCGAAGACGACAAGCAAACGUAUCGUUUUAACGAUUUCCAAUUGAUCAUGGCCAUGGCUAAUUUGCAGUUCGAAUCACGGACGUUAGGUGUCGCUGUCCGUCAUACCCUAGAUUAGCUUUGUCGCUGACUAACGAUCCUAACUUCCCAUGUCUACGUGAGGUGGCGCUGUCCGUCCCUAAUUUGUAGCUGGAGUCCCUCAUUAGUCGGUUCCGAAGGCGGGUAAGGCGAAUGGCACACGCCACCCCGGCACGUUUCCACGACCUACAAGACUUUAACAAAACUAAUCGGGCACCGACUGGUCCCUUUUCACGUCCACGACGCACGUCCAAAAUUUGCACGGCUUCGUUAAUGCAACAGCCAUGUUAAAACGUGUCGGAUCGUGCCACAAUGACCAUUGGUUCGUUAGGCAAUUCGCCAGAAGUGUCAAGCUCUAUUGUCAACAUGCCACUUUCGAAAAAGGAAAAUGUUACUUAAAUUUUUACACUUUAAUUAUCUUACUUGUAAGUUUAUCAUUAUCUAAUGUCUGUUGCAGUACCAAAAACAAUACUAAAGAAAUUUUGUUCUGAGUCUACAACAAUACGAAUGUAACUUGUAGAAAAUGUCUACUAAUAUAAGGAUAUAUAAUAGCAAAAUGACGAUUUUGUAUAUCUAAAUGUGCUGAUUAUUAAAUGGAAAUAUUUUAAUAAUGCCACAAUCAAAAUAAAAA
rnacentral:lncRNA from 1 species